UCAUAUAUAUGAAAACUACAAAGCAAAACCA
rnacentral:piRNA from 1 species